UACGUAGGGUGCAAGCGUUGUCCGGAAUUAUUGGGCGUAAAGAGCUCGUAGGCGGUCUGUCGCGUCUGCUGUGAAAACUCAGGGCUUAACCCUGAGCUUGCAGUGGGUACGGGCAGACUAGAGUGCGGUAGGGGAGACUGGAAUUCCUGGUGUAGCGGUGAAAUGCGCAGAUAUCAGGAGGAACACCGGUGGCGAAGGCGGCUAUCUGGACGGUUUCUGACGCUAAGACGCGAAAGCGUGGGGAGCAAACAGG
rnacentral:rRNA from 1 species